rnacentral:rRNA from 1 species
AUCCACCUACGGGAGGCAGCAGUGGGGAAUAUUGCACAAUGGGGGAAACCCUGAUGCAGCGAUGCCGCGUGGAGGAAGAAGGUUUUCGGAUUGUAAACUCCUUUUAUCAGGGACGAUAAUGACGGUACCUGAAGAAAAAGCUCCGGCUAACUACGUGCCAGCAGCCGCGGUAAUACGUAGGGAGCGAGCGUUGUCCGGAAUUACUGGGUGUAAAGGGAGCGUAGGCGGGACGGAAAGUCAGAUGUGAAAACUGAGGGCUCAACCUUCCGACUGCAUUUGAAACUGCUGUUCUUGCGUGAAGUAGG